rnacentral:tRNA from 1 species
GAAAUAUGAGAUUCAGAAAUAAGCUUCUAACUUAACUUCUUAGCGAUGUAACUUCGUUAAUAUUUCU